AAAAACAUCGCCUCCUGAACCAACCAUAGGAGGUCCAGCCUGCCCAGUGACAAAGUUAAACGGCCGCGGUACCCUAACCGUGCAAAGGUAGCGCAAUCACUUGUUCUUUAAAUGAGGACUAGUAUGAAUGGCAUCACGAGGGUUAUGCUGUCUCCCUGAUCUAAUCAGUGAAACUGAUCUUCCCGUGAAGAAGCGGGGAUAAAAAUAUAAGACGAGAAGACCCCAUGGAGCUUCAAACUCAACAUCAACUGCCCACACUAUACAACAUAUUAAACACGCAGACCUGAUUGUUAGUUUUCGGUUGGGGUGACCGCGGAGUAAAACAAAACCUCCACGAUGAACGGGGCUAGCCCCCUAAUCCAAGAGCUACAGCUCUAAGAAUCAACAAACUGACAGAAUUUGAUCCAAUUCUUUGAUCAACGAACCAAGUUACCCUGGGGAUAACAGCGCAAUCCAUUUCAAGAGCUCAUAUCGACAAAUGGGUUUACGACCUCGAUGUUGGAUCAGGGUAUCCCAGUGGCGCAGCCGCUACUAACGGUUCGUUUGUUCAACGAUUAAAACCCUACGUGAUCUGAG
rnacentral:rRNA from 1 species